UUUAAAUUGAGAGUUUGAUCCUGGCUCAGGAUGAACGCUGGCGGCGUGCCUAAUACAUGCA
rnacentral:rRNA from 1 species